GCAGCAAGCAUAAAUCCGCAAAAAAGAGUGACAAGAAAAACAGACAAUGACAUGAAACUUUAACAGAUAGGAAUAACUGACGUCUUGUCUUUUGUGUGUUAUUUAAAAAANNNNNNNNNNNNNNNNNNNNAAAAAAUGAAAUUCAGUGCAAAAAAAUGAAAUACAGUGCAAAAAAAUGAAAUACAGUGCAAAAAAAUGAAAUACAGUGCAAAAAAAUGAAAUACAGUGCAAAAAAAUGAAAUACAGUGCAAAAAAUGAAAUACAGUGCAAAAAAUGAAAUACAGUGCAAAAAAUGAAAUACAGUGCAAAAAAAUGAAAUACAGUGCAAAAAAAUGAAAUACAGUGCAAAAAAUGAAAUACAGUGCAAAAAAAUGAAAUACAGUGCAAAAAAAAUGAAAUACAGUGUAAAA
rnacentral:lncRNA from 1 species